GAUGGUGUGUGUCCUUGUCAGAACACCUGCUGUAUUCUCCCAGCAAACACUGGGGCCAGGGCGUCUCUCCUCUAAUGACACCUCAUCAAUCCGCUCCUAUCAAUGUCCCAGCCAUGGAGGUGACUUCGAGUGUUCAGAAGCCUUAGAAAAUGUCAACGUUUUGGGAGAAAAGGCAGAAGAACACUGCCUUCUUGCGCUUCUUCACAUCCUCUGGUGUUGACGACUUACACACCUUCAUGUCAUCCAACACUUUGAUGACGCCAUCAGAGACAGCUAUACCAGAGGCCAUGUUUCUGGAUGUGAAAGGAGACAGCAAGAAAAGAUGGAAAAGACGAGAGACACCACAGCUGCUGCUGGGAUCUGACUGAUGAAACUAAAACUUUAAAUUCAAAAUUGAAAUUGUCCUUAACAUGGGAUGUGUAUAUAUCUUUAUCUCCUAUGUAGCUGUUUUAAUAAUUCAUUUGGGCACUUGCCUCAUAUCGUA